GGCCGAUGGCGACCGGCGCACGGGUGAGUAACACGUAUCCAACCUGCCGUCUACUCUUGGACAGCCUUCUGAAAGGAAGAUUAAUACAAGAUGGCAUCAUGAGUCCGCAUGUUCACAUGAUUAAAGGUAUUCCGGUAGACGAUGGGGAUGCGUUCCAUUAGAUAGUAGGCGGGGUAACGGCCCACCUAGUCUUCGAUGGAUAGGGGUUCUGAGAGGAAGGUCCCUCACAUUGGAACUGAGACACGGUCCAAACUCCUACGGGAGGCAGCAGUGAGGAAUAUUGGUCAAUGGGCGAGAGCCUGAACCAGCCAAGUAGCGUGAAGGAUGACUGCCCUAUGGGUUGUAAACUUCUUUUAUAAAGGAAUAAAGUCGGGUAUGGAUACCCGUUUGCAUGUACUUUAUGAAUAAGGAUCGGCUAACUCCGUGCCAGCAGCCGCGGUAAUACGGAGGAUCCGAGCGUUAUCCGGA
rnacentral:rRNA from 1 species